rnacentral:rRNA from 1 species
UACGUAGGGUGCGAGCGUUAAUCGGAAUUACUGGGCGUAAAGCAUGCGCAGGCGGUUUUGUAAGCCAGAUGUGAAAUCCCCGGGCUUAACCUGGGAAUGGCAUUUGGGACUGCAAGGCUGGAGUGUGGCAGAGGAGACUGGAAUUCCUGGUGUAGCAGUGAAAUGCGUAGAUAUCAGGAGGAAUACCGAUGGCGAAGGCAGGUCUCUGGGCUGACACUGACGCUCAUGCACGAAAGCGUGGGGAGCAAACAGG